rnacentral:rRNA from 1 species
UACCUGCAGCUCAAGUAGUGACCACUAUUAUUGGGCCUAAAACGUUCGUAGCCGGUUUGGUAAAUGCCUGGGUAAAUCGUGUAGCUUAACUAUACGAAUUCCGGGUAGACUGCCAAACUCGAAACCGGGAGAAGCUAGAGGUACUCCUGGGGUAGAGGUGAAAUUCUGUAAUCCUAGGGGGACCACCAGUGGCGAAGGCGUCUAGCUAGAACGGGUUUGACGGUGAGGAACGGAGCCCUGGGGCGCAAACCGGAUUAGAUACCCGGGUAGUCCAGGGUGUAAACGCUGCUUGCUUGAUGUUCGUUGGGCUCCGAGCCCAAUUUGUGUCGGAGAGAAGUUGUUAAGCAAGCUGCCUGGGAAUACGAUCGCAAGAUUGAAACUUAAAGGAAUUGGGCGGGGGAGCACAGCAACGGGUGGAGCGUGCGGUUU